rnacentral:rRNA from 1 species
UACGUAGGGGGCAAGCGUUAUCCGGAUUUACUGGGUGUAAAGGGAGCGUAGACGGCAGCGCAAGUCUGGAGCGAAAUGCCGGGGCCCAACCCCGGAACUGCUUUGGAAACUGUGCAGCUCGAGUGCAGGAGAGGUAAGCGGAAUUCCUAGUGUAGCGGUGAAAUGCGUAGAUAUUAGGAGGAACACCAGUGGCGAAGGCGGCUUACUGGACUGUAACUGACGUUGAGGCUCGAAAGCGUGGGGAGCAAACAGG